rnacentral:rRNA from 1 species
UGGGGAAUAUUGCACAAUGGGCGCAAGCCUGAUGCAGCCAUGCCGCGUGUAUGAAGAAGGCCUUCGGGUUGUAAAGUACUUUCAGUCGGGAGGAAGGUGGUAAGGUUAAUAACCUUAUCAAUUGACGUUACCGACAGAAGAAGCACCGGCUAACUCCGUGCCAGCAGCCGCGGUAAUACGGAGGGUGCAAGCGUUAAUCGGAAUUACUGGGCGUAAAUCGCACGCAGGCGGUUGAUUGAGUCAGAUGUGAAAUCCCCGGGCUUAACCCGGGAAUUGCAUCUGAGACUGGUCAGCUAGAGGAGUGUAGAGGGGGGAGGAAUUCAAUGUGUAGCGGUGAAAUGCGUAGAGAUGUGGAGGAAUACCGGUGGCGAAGGCGGCCCCCUGGACAAAGACUGACGCUCAGGUGCGAAAGCGGGGGGAGCAAACAGG